GGGGUUUCUCUGCGGAGAGUCCUGCUUCUCUGUAACCCGUGUAACUCGUCAUUGACGUUCCUCGUCUCCCAGAGCUGGCCGGGACUCUGUGCGGGGUGGAGAGGCAGCGAUGCGGGUCUCUGCCGGUCCUCAGCUCGGCUUGUUGGGGACUGUGGUUGGCUGCUCUGUAGUGGAUGGAGGGAGCUACCUGCCUGCCCAGUUUGCUAAGAGCUUAUUUGUAUUUGUUAGAUCGUGCAGUGGGGCUAAGCCGCCCGCCCUCUCCCUGCCCUCGGUGGCUGAGCCUCUGUGCGCUCCGGGCUCAGCUCCCACAGCGGGGCGGCGCCGGCCUUCCGUCCAUCCCCCAGGGCUGCGCUCGGCAACAGCUACAUAAUUGGAUCUGCUGCGUGGCCAGAGGCACCUGCAGCAGGCUACACCGGCCAGCCACCCAAGCUCCUCCGCCUGCCUGACCUCAUAUCCUGGACGGCAGGCUGUCCUUCCAGCUCCUUUGCAACCACCUGUGAGCGGAUCUGCACCCCCCACCCCCCCACCCCGCCGCGUCAGUCGUGAGCCCACCCAGGACGAAGACCUCACUCAGGCACCUUGGGAACCCGCAGGGAGGGGUGCCCAGGGACUGCCAGUGGCUACACCGUGCUGCCGUUUAUUGAAGUGGGUCUGCUCCCUGUCUGGGGAGUCCUCACAGCGCCCCUGGAGGGACAAUGUCCAGGGUGGCUCCAGCCCUGACCCCUGCUGAGCCUGGGCUUGAUCUCAGACUGAGCUCUGAGCCAAGGCCCCCAGGGCCCCCAGGGCUUCCUGCCCGAGCUCCCCACCCCGAACAGAAAGGGCAGGGCCGCCCAGGCCAGGCAGAGGUCUCCUCGGGUGGCAGCUCAGGUGUGGCUGCAGACAGGACCGUAUCUGCUUGCUCACCCAGAGUCAGAUGCCCAGCGUUGUUACACACGGGAACCCCGUUUUGUGAAUGCUUUCCUGGGAACCCGGAGUCCGGGAGGGGCGGGUGACACAGGCAGGGCCUGUCCUGGAGGCCCUGGGGAGAGGGCGGGGGUUUCUCCGCCAGGCCCCUCCCUUCCUCUCUCCCCAGGAAGGGGAUGGCAGGCCCAGGCGAGAGCUGAACCCCAGACACCCCUCAUGUCCAUCCCGCCCCAGUGCCCUGUCCCCACCACCUCCUAACCCCACCCCACUCCCAGGACCUGAGUCCCAAGCAGCCCAGCUGGGCCAACUCAAUCCUCACGCUGGUUUUAAAAAAGAAAGAGAAGAAAGAGAGAGAGAGAGUGUGUGUGUGUGUGUGUGUGUGUGUGUGUGUGUGUGUGUGUUUGGGGAGGGGUGUUCAAGGGGAAGAAAAGGAAGUUAUUUAAUACUAAACAGGUGUCUGGAGCCCUAAAUUCUGCUGCUUUCUUCUAAUAAUGAAGUAUUCAUGAGGAAAGGCCCUUUUUCACUACUUUCUUAAGAUACUAAUUUCACAACAAGCUCCUUGUUACGGCGCAAUUAUUCCAGUCUUGUAUUUCCCGGAGACGGUUGCAGCCUCCUGUCUGCCCCGGCCUCUCGGUAAAUGAAAGACAAUCACGCAGCCACCUUUCAUUACGCUCUAUUUUACUUUCAGCAAAGGUACCCUGAAAGAAAUGAUUUACACUGAAAGGGACUUUUAUUCAGUUUCAAAACCAAUUUUCUCCUAUUACUGUCUCAAAAAAAAAAAAAGAGAGAGAGAGAGAGAAAGUAGGGGAUGGGUUGGGGGAGGGGAGGUGGUUCUCAUCCUCCCCCACCCCCCAAUCGCCAGCCUUAACGCAGCGACGCAAUAAAAGCUGCAGUAUCCA